UCUAAUAAGCUCUAUGGUUCUCCUCUGGUAUCCUAGUGGGUUUCACAUUUUCAUUCCUGGCUACAUAGCUUUCCUUCUGCCCUGCAACCAUUUAGAGCUGCUCCUCGCUUGGGGUGGUGCCUAUUGCUGCUCCUGCCAUUCUCCUAGGCCAAGGGACUUGAAAUGGGAUUUUGAAUUGUGAAGUGUGGAUUUCUGCAAGUUCUGCAUUAUUUCUGCCCACAUAAGGAUUUGUUAGCAGUGAAAUGGGCUGGAAACGUGAAUACGUGAAUUAGUACGUCAAAACAGCAAAUAAAACAUGUCUGAAAAAUCUGCUACCUGUAUGCAACAGCCAGAAGAGGAGAGAAAAUGAGAGAUACGUAAAAGGAGGAAAACCCCAAAGUAAUCUUUAAUCGUUUGGGAGAACUUUCUUCUGUCUACCACUGUCCCACCAGUCUCCAAAACAGAAUGAGAAGUAGAUGAGAAGAAAUAGCUCAAUAAUACUCUCCAAAGUGCCUGCUUUCCACUGGGGCUCCCAUUCACCUGAUGCACGCUCCCAGUAAGAUGCUGGUUGCCAGCCGCUGAUGCUGCAGGGAAUUCCCUUUUGGGCUCAGGGUAAGGACCUUGCUCAGCCCAUCAGCACUGGCUCUGAGGACACUUUCCUUCUCACGGGUCAGCAGCAUGGGGUUGACCAUACAAGCCUGAGAUGCUGCCCCUGGUGGAUGAACACUUUUUCCUCCUGAGAUUGGAUUGGUGAACUGAUGGGGAUGAAGGGCUUUGGGGUUGCAGUGCUUGAAGUGCCAAGUUUGUUUUCCCUCCUCUGCUUUCAUAUGUAUAUACCCUGUAAGAUUAAUGCUGGUUUGUGUUGUUUUCAUGCAAUUUGAUUGGUGGAGUAAGAGGAGCACCUGGAAGAAUAGCUAAUCUG